GCCCUCUCAGGGUCACACCUGGAGAGUUUGUAGUACUCUACCAGUCUCGACUAUGGAAGGGAGAGUCAAGCAGAGGCCUACCCAUUCCAUUCUUAGCUUGGGCUGUGACUAGUGAGUGGAAGGCAAUCUGCUACUAGC
rnacentral:snoRNA from 2 species